UAGGGAAUCUUCGGCAAUGGACGGAAGUCUGACCGAGCAACGCCGCGUGAGUGAAGAAGGUUUUCGGAUCGUAAAGCUCUGUUGUAAGAGAAGAACGAGUGUGAGAGUGGAAAGUUCACACUGUGACGGUAUCUUACCGGAAAGGGACGGCUAACUACGUGCCAGCAGCCGCGGUAAUACGUAGGUCCCGAGCGUUGUCCGGAUUUAUUGGGCGUAAAGCGAGCGCAGGCGGUUAGAUAAGUCUGAAGUUAAAGGCUGUGGCUUAACCAUAGUACGCUUUGGAAACUGUUUAACUUGAGUGCAAGAGGGGAGAGUGGAAUUCCAUGUGUAGCGGUGAAAUGCGUAGAUAUAUGGAGGAACACCGGUGGCGAAAGCGGCUCUCUGGCUUGUAACUGACGCUGAGGCUCGAAAGCGUGGGGAGCAAACAGGAUUAGAUACUCUGGUAGUCCACGCCGUAAACGAUGAGUGCUAGGUGUUAGACCCUUUCCGGGGUUUAGUGCCGCAGCUAACGCAUUAAGCACUCCGCCUGGGGAGUACGACCGCAAGGUUG
rnacentral:rRNA from 1 species